UACGGGGGGAGCAAGCGUUGUUCGGAUUUACUGGGUGUAAAGGGCGCGUAGGCGGUCAGCACAAGUCAGUUGUGAAAUCUCCGGGCUUAACUCGGAAAGGUCAACUGAUACUGUGCGACUAGAGUGCAGAAGGGGCAACUGGAAUUCUCGGUGUAGCGGUGAAAUGCGUAGAUAUCGAGAGGAACACCUGCGGCGAAGGCGGGUUGCUGGGCUGACACUGACGCUGAUGCGCGAAAGCCAGGGGAGCGAACGGG
rnacentral:rRNA from 1 species